CCUACGGGUGGCAGCAGUGGGGGAUAUUGCACAAUGGGGGGAACCCUGAUGCAGCGACGCCGCGUGAGUGAAGGAGCGUUUCGGCGCGUAAAGCCCUAUCAGCAGGGAAGAAAAUGACGGUACCUGGCCAAGAAGCCCCGGCUAACUACGUUCCAGCAGCCGCGGUAAUACGUAGGGGGCAAGCUUUAUCCGGAUUUACUGGGUGUAAAGGGGGCGUAGACGGCACUGCAAGUCAGGAGUGAAAGGCCGGGGCCCAACCCCGGGACUGCUCUUGGAACUGCAGCGCUGGAGUACAGGAGGGGUAGGCGGAAUUCCUAGUGUAGCGGUGAAAUGCGUAGAUAUUAGGAGGAACACCGGUGGCGAAGGCGGCCUGCUGGACUGUGACUGACGUUGAGGCCCGAAGGCGUGGGGAGCAAACAGGAUUAGAUACCCUGGUAGUC
rnacentral:rRNA from 1 species